GGAAAUAUAGCUCAGUGGCACAGAGCCUGCCUGGCAAGCGCAAGGCCCUGAGUUCGAUUCCCAGUACCA
rnacentral:tRNA from 1 species